UACGUAGGGCGCAAGCGUUGUCCGGAAUUAUUGGGCGUAAAGAGCUCGUAGGCGGUUUGUCGCGUCUGUCGUGAAAGUCCGGGGCUCAACUCCGGAUCUGCGGUGGGUACGGGCAGACUAGAGUGAUGUAGGGGAGACUGGAAUUCCUGGUGUAGCGGUGAAAUGCGCAGAUAUCAGGAGGAACACCGAUGGCGAAGGCAGGUCUCUGGGCAUUAACUGACGCUGAGGAGCGAAAGCAUGGGGAGCGAACAGG
rnacentral:rRNA from 1 species